GAAGUAAAGGCUUGAGUGGAGAGGGCAGUGAACGAGUUGUGUCCUACUGAGCAGCUUCUGUGGACACGAGACGAGAGACAGACCAGAAUGUCUCUGACGGUUUUAACAUCUUACAGACUGAGAUCACUCUGUAGACUGCAGCGAAUCCAGGGACACAUGAUGUCCAGUCAUGUGGAAGCAGAAGUGUUGCUGGAGAAAGUGGGCAGAGCUGGUGUGAUCACCUUGAACAGACCCAAAGUCCUGAAUGCCCUGAACCUGACCAUGAUCCGACAGAUCUACCCUCAGCUCAAGGUAUAUGGAAAA